CUGAACCAGCCAAGUAGCGUGAAGGAUGAAGGUUCUAUGGAUUGUAAACUUCUUUUAUACGGGAAUAAACGGAUCACGUGUGGAUUUUUGCAUGUACCGUAUGAAUAAGGAUCGGCUAACUCCGUGCCAGCAGCCGCGGUAAUACGGAGGAUCCGAGCGUUAUCCGGAUUUAUUGGGUUUAAAGGGAGCGUAGAUGGGUUGUUAAGUCAGUUGUGAAAGUUUGCGG
rnacentral:rRNA from 1 species